rnacentral:rRNA from 1 species
UACAGAGGGUGCGAGCGUUGUUCGGAAUUAUUGGGCGUAAAGGGUGCGUAGGCGGUUUGGUAAGUCUGAUGUGAAAGCCCACGGCUCAACCGUGGAGGGUCAUUGGAAACUGGGGGACUUGAGCACAGAAGAGAAGAGUGGAAUUCCACGUGUAGCGGUGAAAUGCGUAGAGAUGUGGAGGAACACCAGUGGCGAAGGCGACUCUUUGGUCUGUAACUGACGCUGAGGCGCGAAAGCGUGGGGAGCAAACAGG